rnacentral:rRNA from 1 species
UACGUAGGGAGCAAGCGUUGUCCGGAAUCAUUGGGCGUAAAGCGCGCGUAGGCGGCCCCGUAAGUCCGCUGUGAAAGUCAAAGGCUCAACCUUUGAAAGCCGGUGGAUACUGUGGGGCUAGAGUACGGAAGAGGCGAGUGGAAUUCCUGGCGUAGCGGUGGAAUGCGCAGAUAUCAGGAGGAACACCAAUAGCGAAGGCAGCUCGCUGGGACGUUACUGACGCUGAGGCGCGAAAGCGUGGGGAGCGAACAGG